rnacentral:rRNA from 1 species
GAUGAACGCUGGCGGCGUGCCUAAUACAUGCAAGUCGAGCGAACAGACGAGGAGCUUGCUCCUCUGACGUUAGCGGCGGACGGGUGAGUAACACGUGGAUAACCUACCUAUAAGACUGGGAUAACUUCGGGAAACCGGAGCUAAUACCGGAUAAUAUAUUGAACCGCAUGGUUCAAUAGUGAAAGACGGUUUUGCUGUCACUUAUAGAUGGAUCCGCGCCGCAUUAGCUAGUUGGUAAGGUAACGGCUUACCAAGGCAACGAUGCGUAGCCGACCUGAGAGGGUGGUCGGCCGCACGGGAACUGAGACACGGUCCAGACUCCUACGGGAGGCAGCAGUAGGGAAUCUUCCGCAAUGGGCGAAAGCCUGACGGAGCAACGCCGCGUGAGUGAUGAAGGUCUUCGGAUCGUAAAACUCUGUUAUUAGGGAAGAACAAAUGUGUAAGUAACUAUGCACGUCUUGACGGUACCUAAUCAGAAAGCCACGGCUAACUACGUG